rnacentral:rRNA from 1 species
AUACAGAGGGUGCAAGCGUUAAUCGGAAUUACUGGGCGUAAAGCGCACGUAGGUGGAUGUUUAAGUCGAAUGUGAAAGCCCUGGGCUUAACCUGGGAACGGCAUUUGAUACUGGGCAUCUUGAGUAUGGUAGAGGGAAGUGGAAUUUCCGGAGUAGCGGUGAAAUGCGUAGAUAUCGGAAGGAACACCAGUGGCGAAGGCGGCUUCCUGGACCAAUACUGACACUGAGGUGCGAAAGCGUGGGGAGCAAACAGGAUUAGAAACCCCGGUAGUCC